rnacentral:lncRNA from 1 species
CACAAGGCCGCUGAAGGCCAGUUAGAACGUGGCACUCUAGAAGGACAAGAACCCUCCAGAAGUAGAUGGAUGUGGCUCCAUCCUAGGGCAGAGCUGGAGAAUGACUGCAGCCUCACUGAGGACAAUGUCUCCUGGGGCCUGUGGGCACACUGAGGCCCCAAGAGGAUAAGGAGUUUGCCCUGGGCUCCUUCCUCUGCACCUGCUGCCUCCCCAAGAAGAAGCCGUGAAUUCAUCUCCACCCAAGGAGACCAUGCACAUCCUUGGGCCCAAGUGUGCUGCCCUCUGCCUAUUGCAGGAUGAGACAAGAAAGGACAAUCUCGGAAGAUGCACUUCCUGCCACGGCGCAGGGUCAAGCUUGCCUAGAGAGUUGGUGAUGAGACAAAUCACCAAUGAAGAUCCACAGAUAAACAGCCGUCACAAUCAGGAGGAGCAAUGACGGCAACAGCACGCCGCAUAGACUACAGUGAAGACGCCAAGUCUCUGAAAAGAUGCAGACAGAUGCGGGAGAAGAAACUGCGAGCAGCCCCUUUCUCGACGCCUCAGCCUUCCUCUCUGGGAAGAACCCCGGAGGCCCCUCUCCCCAGGAAGACCCUGCUCUCCUUCUCCGAGCUCGCCCCCUCACCUGGAGCUAGAAUCGGCGCCCAUCCGCACAGGGGCUGGCCAUGCCCCGGCCCCUGGCCCGGCUGCC